GUCUACAGUCCUACCACCCUGAACACGCUUGAUCUUGUCUGAUCUCAGAAGCUAAGCAGGGUCAGGCCUGGUUAGUUCUUGGAUGGGAAAAAGGAAGAGAGGGAGGAGAUGAGUGGUGGGGC
rnacentral:rRNA from 1 species